AAAAGUUUCCCAGCUUUACCAAUGCUUCAUUCCCACUCUCCAGAGGCUGGCAGAGGACAGUGGAGCAGCCAACACACAAAAGUACUGUUUGUGCCUGGCUGAAGACUGUGGCGAUAUGACAACAUCCUGGGCAUUUCACAUCCAUGAAGUAGGAAUUGGGGCUCUGCACCAGGCAUUUCUUCUUGUUUUUCCUCUUCUCCUCUUCUGGAGUGGGAUGAAGGAGAUCCUUUGUGAGAGGCAUGUUCUUGUGGAUGGGUCAUCACUGCUGGAAAGGACCAUGCAUGCAUCUAUAUCUUUUUAAAGUAAAGAAGAUAACACUGUACCUGCUGUUCUGCAGCCUCCUAUUUCCACCUAAUAAUUCUUCACAUUCUUCUCUGUCUGCACACAUGCAUGGGCCUCAUUCUUUUCAUUAUUUUUAAUGGCUGCAUAGUUUUCCUUUGCAUGGCUAUAUACCAUAAUUUAACUGCAAGUAUCCUAUUAAGGACCAUAGAGGUUUCUUUCAUUCUCAUUUUGUUAUUACUUUGCUAUAACAAACAAUGCAGACAAUGCUCACUAAGGAAGCAGCUGUACACAAUGUAUAUCUUGAUAUAUUUGCAUGAAAAAAUCUAAAAAAUGGUGCUUUGUUCAUUGUGAGCCUAAGUAAUCAAAGACACUAUAAGGACUCUCAUAAAUACGGAAUACCCUUCUGAUAGAUGCUUUUAUUUUGAAGUAUAACGUAUGUACACACAAGUAUAUAGAGAGACAGAUGUUCUCAAAGUGAGCUCACCAAUGUAACCAGCACAUGGAUCAAGAAGCAAAACAUUACUGAAACCCCAGAAGCCCCCUCGCUUCCUUUUCUAGUUACUAUGCCCCCUUCCCACCUUGAAGCCUGACCACUUGUCUAACUUUUGCUUCCAUGAAUUAGUUUUGCCUUCUUUUGAGUUUUGUAUCAAUGGAAUUGUGCCAGGCAUCUUUCACUUAGCAUCUGUUUGUGGGAUUCACCCAUGUUGUGGCGUGUGGUUUAGUUCAUUCAUGCUCAUUGCUGUGUAAUAUUCCAUUAAACAAAUGUGAAUGUGCCACCAUUUAUCCAUCUACUGUUGAUGAGUGUUCGGGUUAUUUCCAGUUGGGGGCUAUUAUGAAAAGUGCUUUAUGAACAUACCUAUAUACAUCUUCUGUUGAACAUAUGUGGGCAUUUCUGUUGAGUAAAUACCGAAAAGUGGAGUUCCUGGGUCAAGGGGCUCAGCAUGCAUGUUCAACUUUAGCAGAUACAUCUUGCCAAACUGUUUUCCAAUGGUUGUACUACUUUGCACUCUAAAUUUAUAAGCAAAUUUAUAAAUAUUCUGUGGACUGAAUGUUAAUGUUUCAAUUCAUAUAUUUGUAGUGGGGAAGAACUGGAAGCCACCUGAAUGCCUAUCAAUGGGGGAUAGUUGAACAAACUGGGAAAUAGUCAUCCAAGGGAAUAUUAUGCAAUGCUUUUUUUUUUUGAUUCAAGGUCUCACUAUGUUGCCAAGGUUGGACUUGAACACCUGGGCUCAAAUGAUCCUCCUGCCUUAGCCUCCUGAGUAGCUGAGACUAUAGCCGAAAUUCAAAUGUGGAAACCCUCAUCCCCUAUAUGAUGGUAUAUGGAGAUGUGUCCUUUGGGAGGCAGUGAAGUCAUGAGGAUAGAGCACUCACGAUGGGAUUAGUGCCUUUAUCAGAAGAUACACAAGAGAACUUGCUUCCUUUCUCUCUACUCUCUUACGUGUAGAUACCAUGAGAAGAUCUGCAAAUCAGAAAGAUUUUUGGUGCCUUUACCACACACCAGCUCUGCCAGCACCUUGAUCUUGAACUUUCCAGCCUCUAGAACUGUCAGAAAUAAAUGUUGGUUGUUAGAGCCACCCAGUCUAUGGCGAUUUGUUAUAAGCAGCCCAAACUGAUGGUGACACAUUCCCACCAAGGGCACACGUUUUCCAUUUAUUCCAUGUUUUUGCCAACACUUUGUAUCUGUGUUUUUUUAUUUCAGCCAUUUGAUAUUGACUCUCAACAGGGCACUGUGCAGGGGCAGUUCUUAGAGAAGUCCUUUUUUUUUUUUUUUUUUUUGAGAUGGAGUCUUGCUCUGUCGCCCAGGCUGGAGUGCAGUGGUGCGAUCUCGGCGCACUGCAACCUCUGCCUCCCGGGUGAGAACUACUUUUGAUUGAACUGAAGGUUUUAGAAGGCUAGCUGGGGGGCAGAAGGGUGGGACUGAAAGCUGGGCUGGAUGGGGUCUGGAGGAUGCAGGUGAUUGCUCUCGGCCGAACGCUCCACCCCAAGGUGAGAUGGUGAGAACGUUCUUUUAAAAACAGCCCACCUGGCCCUGAGAUUUCUCUGUUCUGUCUGUAUUAAUGUCCCCAUGAGAUCACUUGAGACAGAAGGAAAGCCUUCUCUAAGGGAAAGUAGAGAAUUGAGCCCUAGAUGCUAUAGUGGCCCCAGGUGGGAAAUCGUUUUCUUCUGGCCCAUAAAGCAGCCGUCUGUUCUGCUGUGUUUUACUAACAGCGUUCCUCUGCCGGCUAGGAGAAGCAGGCCCAGUGGAUGUGCUAUGGGGGAAUUUAUGCAUCAGACACUCCAGGAGCAGUCCCCAGGAUGUCUCUACCUUUUCCCUGGCACACCAGCUGGGUGCAGUGCCCCAAAUCCAGUUAGUCUGAUAGGGACAUCAAGCCUGAAGUUACGGGAUAGGCUGGCAUCUCACAAGAGAAGGCUGGACUAGAAACAGGACAAUCGGGGAUAGUCAUCAAAGUUUUGGAGGCUGACAUCCCCUAGGAAUGUGAGAACAUACGUCCUUUUAAAAAUAGCCAGAUGGCAGAAAAAGAAGAGGGCCCAGGUUUGAGCCUAAGAGACCUUCACAGAGCCCUGGGUCAGGAGCAGAGAGAUGUCUAGAAGAAGCCAGGAAACAGCCUUUGGGAGCAUAGCUGGAGGACUGUGGGGAGCAGCCGUGGUGUUAUUUUUAUUGGGUGAGGAGUCUGAGCUGCGGAUGUGCUUCCCUGAUGGGGAUUUUUUUUUUAAGAGACGGAUUUUGCUGUGUUGCUCAGGCUGGUCUUGAACUCCUGGGCUCAAGCAAUCCUCCUGCCUCAGCCUUCCAAAGUGCUGGGAUUAUAGGUGUGAGCCACUGCUCCUGGGCCUGAUGGGGAAUUUAAAUUCUUCAAUGACAGCAUUCUGAGGCCACUCAUUAAAUACCAGUCACCCACCAAGGUGUCAGCCAAUGGGGAUUUCAUUCCUAGAGAAGACACACUGAAGAGGAAAACCUAAACCCUCUUCCUGCAUCUGUGAUACAAGAUCGGUUCUGAAAGGCAUUUGAAACCCUGUUGUGUAGAUUCUGUUGGCUCCCAAGUUCAAAGUAGCCACCAACAAAGCAACUGCUAUCGCCAUCUAUCGGGGAGGACUGUGCUGAUGACCUUUCUGGCUCCCGAUUUCCUCUGUAGAUAAUUGGUGACUUCUGAUCAUGGACAUUCUGCCAAUGGAUGAAAAUUUUUUUUCUAAGUUUAAAAGAAAUUUUGUUUUUUGAGACGGAAUCUCCCUCUGUCUCCCAGGCUGGAGUGCAGUGGUGUGACCUUGGCUUACUGCAACCUCUGCCUCCCAGGUUCAAGCACUUCUCCUGCUUCAGUCUCCCAAGUAGCUGGGAUUACAGGUGCCCACCACCACACCCAGCAAAUUUUUGUAUUUUUUUAGUAGAGACAAGGUUUCACCACGUUGUCCAGGCUGGUCUCGAAUUCCUGACCUUAGGUGAUCCACUCAUCUUGGCCUCCCAGAGUGCUGUGGUUACAGGCAUGAGCCACCAUGCCCAGCCUAAAAAAAAUUUAAAUGAAAUUGUUAUUUUGGAAUAGUUUUAGAUUUACAGAAAAUGAUUUAAUAGUUUUAGAUUUAAAAAACGAAACCGGACCAGCACUUUGGGAAGCCAAGGUGUGUGGAUUGCUUGAGCCCAGGAGUUCAAGACCAGCCUGAGCAACAUGCUGAAACCCAGCCUCUGCAGAGAGCUCAAAAACUAGCUGGGUGUGGUGGCAAGCACCUGUGGUCCUAGCUACCCGGGAGGCUGAGGUGGGAGGAUUGCUUGAGCUGGGGGGUGGAGGUUGCAGUGAGCUGUGAUCAUACUAUUGCACUCCAGCCUGGGUGACAGAGCAAGACCUUCUCUCAGUAAAUAAAUAAACCAUAAUUUUUUAUUUCUUUACCAAAAAAAUUUAAAAAAUAAUUUUGGAUUUGUAAAGAUCAUAAAGAGAAUUCCCAUAUAUCUUGUCCCCAGUUCUCCUACUGUUGGCAUCUUAUAUUAAUAUUAUGUUUAUCGCAACUAUAAUUGACAUAUUCUUAUUAGCUCCAUAACUUUAUCCAAAUUUUAUUAUUUUUCUCCCUAAAGUCUUUUUCAUUUUCCAGGGUCCCACCCAGGAUGCCACACUGCAUUUAAUCCUUGAGGCUCCUGAGGCUCCCCUGGGCUGUGCUAGUUUCUCACACUGUCCUUGCUUUUGAUGAUUUUUGACCGUUUUGAGGGGUUUUUGUAGAAUGCCAUUGCAUUUGGGUUUGUCUGAUGUUUUUCACUUUGAGUGUAGGAGGAAGACCGUCGAGUGCCAUUCUCAUCUCACCACGUCAGGGACACCUACUGGACUGAAUAUUUGUGUCCUGCCCAAAUUCAUAUGUUGAUAUCUAAAUCAUCAGUAGGAUAACAUCUGGAGGUAGGGCCUGUGGGAGGUAAUUAGGUCAUGAAGGUGGAGCCCUCAAGAAUAGAAUUAGCACUGUUAAAAUUAAAACUUUAUUUAAUUAAUUUAUUUUUAUUUUUAUUUUAUUUUAUUGAGAUGGAGUGUUGCUCUGUUGCCUAGGUUGAAGUGCAGUGGUGUGAUCUCAUUCUCACUGUAAGCUCCGCCUCCUGAGUUCAAGUGAUUCUCCUGCCUCAGCCUCCUGAGCAGCUGGGAUUACAGAGGCACGCCACCAUGCCUGGGUAAUUUUUGUAUUUUUAAUGGAGACCAGGUUUUGCCAUGUUGGCCAGGCUGGUCUCCAACGCCUGACCUCAAGCGAUCUGCCCGCCUUGGGCUUCCAAAGUGCUGGGAUUAUAGGCGUGAGCCAUGGCAUCCAGCCAAAAGAAGAAAUUUAGCGGAAUUAAAUUUAGACGAGUUUAACUGAACAAGAACAAUUAGCGAAUUGGCAGCCUCCCGAGCCACAGCAGGCUCAGCGAGUCCAGUGCAGCCAUGUGGUGGUAGAAGAUUUACGGACAGAAAAAGGAAAGCGAUGUACAGAAAACGGAAGUGAGGUACAGAAACAGCCGGAUUGGUUACAGCUCUACGUUUGCCUUAAUUGAACGGUUUGAAGAGUUGGCCACCUUUGAUUGGCCAGAACUCGGUGAUUGGCACAAGAGUAGGGUAUAGUCUGUUUACAACUCCAUUUGGGUUAUAGUUCACAAUGUACAGAGGAAUCUUUAGGUUGAACUCCUAAAUAUGUAAGGCAGCUUUAGGCCAACCUGGAUGAAACAGCGCCAUCAGAAGACAAGACCUGAGAGAGUUUGCUUUCCUCUCUUUGCUCUCCCCCAUGUGAGGAGACAGUGGGAAGUCAGCAGCCUGCUACGCAGAGGAGGGCCCUCGAUGGCCUUGCUGGCAUCCCAAUCCCGGACUUCCAGCCUCUGGAACUGUGAGAACAAAGGUUUGUGGUUUAAGUCCCUCAGUCUACGGUAAUUUGUUACAGCAGCCUGAACUGAGAUGCCUACUAUCAACAUGACUUAUCACUGAGGAUUUUAACCUUGAUCAGCUGGCUAAUGGAGUGUUUGUCAGGUUUCUCGAUAAGUCUACUCCCCACCACUCUUCCAUACUCUAUUCUUUGGAAGCAAAGCCCAUACUUAAGGGGUAGAAAGUUGUGCUCCCCACUUCUUGCAGGGCAGUAUUUAUAUACAUUACUUAGAAUUUUUCUAUAUGGGAAAUUUGCGCCUUCACCCUACAAGGGAGUUUUUCAUUGAGACCUCACGUGAUCUAGCAAUAUUGCAAAAAUUGGCCACUUGACCUCAGCAAGGUGGCUGUAUUAGUCUGUUUUCACAGUGCUAUGAAGACACACCCAAGACUGCGUUGUUUAUAAAUGAAAUAGGUUUAAUUUACUCACAGUUUGGCAUGGCUGGGAAGGCCUCAGGAAACUUACAAUCAUCACAGAAGGAGAAGGAGAAGAAAGUUACCUUCUUCACAGGGUGGCAGUAAGGAGAAGUGCUGAGCACAGGGGCAAAAGCCCCUUAUGAAACCGUCAAAUGUCGGCCGGGUGUGGUGGCUCAUGCCUGUAAUCCCAGCACUUUGGGAGGCAGAGGCAGGUGAAUCACUUGAGGUCAGGAGUUCAAGAGCAGCCUGACCAACAUGGUAAAACCCCGUCUCUACUAAAAAAUACAGUUAGCUGGGUAUGGUGGCAGAUGUCUGUAAUCCCAGCUACCCGGAGGCUGAGGCAAGAGAAUUGCUUGAAGCCUGGGAGGCAGAGGUUGCAGUGAGCCAAGACUACACCACUACAUUCCAGCCUGGGUGACAGAGCGAGACUCCAUCUCAAAAAAACAAACAAAAAAAGCCCAUCAAAUCUUGUGAGAACUCACUCACUAUUGCAAGAGCAGCGUGAGGGUAACCACCCCCAUGAUUUAAUUACCUCCCACUGGGUCUGGCCCGUAAUACGUGGGGAUUAUGGGAACUACAAUUCAAAAUGAGAUUUGGGUGGGGACACAGCCAAACUAUGUCAGUGAUUGAAUCAUUUUGUCAUGACUUAGCUUUUGAGAAAUUUUCAGUUUUCUCUUCUGGGCUCCUGACCACUGGAGAUUCUGAGGACCAACAAUUCACAUAGUGCUAGACGGAGGGGGAAGCUGGGCCACAUUUGAUCUAUGGGCCAAAUCCAUUCGUGUGACAAAUGUCUAACUGUGCACCUACAAUGUGCCAGGUGCUGUUCUAGGGGGUUACAUGGCAGUGAGAAAAUUCUUACUCCCACAGAGUUUACUUGAUCUUGCUACUCAAGGAAGAGCAGCAUUGGAAUUACCUGGGAGAUGGUUAGAUUCUCAGCUCCUCCCCAGACCGGCUGCAUCAGAAUCUGCAUUUUAAUAAGAUGCUCAGGGGUUCAUAGGCACAUUAAAGUUUGAGAAGCCCUGCGCUAAGAGGUAUUUCACAAACAAGAUAGUUGAACAUUAACUGAGUGUUGCAGUCUUAGAUAGUUAAGACAAGGGGAUCUUCUAAGUGUAUGUUGAUCCUGGUGUAUGAUAGAAUACCUUAAAAAUCAGUGGGGUUAAUGAGAAAGUGAGAUUAUGUGUCCUGGUGUGGUCUGCAUCUGAUUAACCCGUGACCAGUUUGGAAGCUCAGCCUCAACUCUGUUUAUUCUCCCAACCAUUUGAGAACAAUCAAAUGUCCUUUAACAACCCCCCUUUCUGCCUAUACUAACCAGAGUGGAUGCUAAAGUUUGCAAGUAGGAAGCCUGAUCAAUAAAGGGUUUGUAGCACCAAGAGCAGAUCUGAGAAUGAAGCAGCUGGGGGCAGGAGGUGAGGGACCUUCAGGCCCUGACCAGGCCACAGUGACUAGGCCUCUGUGUCUCUGGCCUCACGCUGAGGCAGCAUGUCUGGCCAGCAGCAUGUCCAAUGAGUGGAGGAACUGGGGAGGAGAAGACUCCUUGUGUGAAGUUAAAAACAGCAUUGUCCACAAGGCCACUCGCACUUCUGACAGCAAUUGCAAGUUUAGGAGUGGCCGAGACCACCCUUAAGUUUGAAAACUUGCCAGAAAGAUUCACAGAACUCACUUAAAGCUGUUACACUCAUGAUUUUAUUUUAUUACAGCAAAAAGAUACCAAUUAAAAUUAGCCAAGGGGCCGGGUGCAGUGGCUCACGCCUGUAAUCCGAACAUUUUGGGAGCCUGAGGCGGUUGGAUCACCUGAGGUUGGGAGUUUGAGACCAGCCUGACCAACAUGGAGAAACCCCCAUCUUUACUAAAAAUACAAAAUUAGCUGGGAGUGGUGGUGCCAUGCCCAUAAUCUCAGCUAUUCGGGAGGCUGAGGCAGGAGAAUCACUGGAACCUGGAAGGCGAAGGUUGUGGUGAGUCGAGAUCAAGCCAUUGUAUUCCAGCCUGGGCAACAAGAGUGAAACUCCGUCUCAAAACAAACAAACAAAAAAAUCAGCCAAGGGAAGAGUAACACAGGGCAGAGUCCACGAAAGUUCUAACAUGGAGCCUCCGGCUGCCCUCUCACCCUGGAGUUGUGGACAGCAUCAUUUUUCUAGCAUUGAUGUGUGACAAUAUGCAUGAAAUAUUGCCAACUAGGAGCACGCAGCCAAACCUUCUUUCCAAAACAAAUGCAGUUAUCUCAAGACCCUCUUCCUAGGAAUCUCAUCAAAUAGCUAGGAAAGAUUAAGCAGAGGAAAGACUCGGAGUAAUCACCAUGCCCAGACUUCUCCAUCUCUCCUUUGAAUGCAGCUCAAAGAUUAGCUGGGGGACUUCAUCUGCAUAAUAAGACAACCCUUGUUCAUCGUGAAGUUCUGCCCCUCACCUUCCCACCAUCUCCCGCAGCACUCAUAGGAACGUCCUUCCAGGCUAUUGUUCUUUGAACUCAGUCGUUUUUCCUGAGAAUCAUCUGGAAAUCCCCAGCGUCUUUCUGGGGCUUGAUCAUGCCAUCCUAGUUGGCUGUCCAUGUGGCUGGGCUCGGUCUUCAGCAUCUUCAGAGGUUAAGCUGAUAUGAUGUGACCAAAAGCCCUACCAUGGCUUCCCUCCUUAAGACUAUCUGUCAUGGACCAGUGCCCUCAGGAAAACAAAGACAUUCUUACCAGGCAAGCAUUCCAAGGACUUAGAGAUUACCUUCCAGGUGCCACGGACAAAAGCCAGGUCUCUCUUUGAGCAAAGUUAAAUUCUUUACUAUGCCCUGCUUCACUCCACUACCGUGAUGCCAUGUGGACCCCUUAACAUCCCUGUAUGCCUAGGCACCACCUCAGGAGAAGGGGAAAGUCUGGGAAGAGGAGAAAGCGAGCAAAUGCCAGUUUGCUAAAUUAACUGAAGAGUCAGAGUGACUGGAUUUGAUUUCUGGGCAUUUAUCCUAAAAUGUACCUGCACAUAGAUGAAUUGGCGUAUGAAUAUAGCUAUUCACUGAAACAUUUAUAAAAGCAGAAGUUUCAAAACAACCCAAAGACUUGUAAGUAGGGAUUGGUUAAAUAAAUUGUAUAUCUCACCAGGAGAUCCUAUGCAUCUUUAAAUGCAUGAAUGAGAAAUCUUUUGUACAUACGCAAAUGUGGAAUAUUACGUAGCUUUGUUAAAUCUUAAAAAUCAAAUGCAGAAGAUCUCUGUGUACUAACAGGGAAAUAUCUUUUGGAGUUUUCCAGUGAAAUAAGCGAAGUGCAUUGGCUGUGCUACCCCUGCCUGUCUGAUGGCUGGGGCCCAGUGCUACACUUAGUUUUGGGUUUGUUUUGUUUUCUUCUCCUGCCCUUCCCACACAUGCAGACUUAUUGAUGCUAUUGUUUGCCUAACCCCUUGAUACUAUACCCCGCAACUCUCAUCUUUCAACCUGCUCAGACCUGUGGCUGACCCUGACCUUGUUACCUACAUUGCCAGGAUUUCUCCAUGUUGCCGUCACUUACAUCACAAUAUGGACUAUCCUGGCAUGCUAAUGUCUUUUCUUCUAAGCUGCUUUUCUUCUAAGGAGCUACCUCUUGGGCUCCUUAGAAAGAAGAAAUGCAGGCGGUGCAAGGUGGCUCAUGCCUGUAAUCCCAGCACAUUGGGAGGCCAAGGUGGCAGGAUCGCCUGAGGUCAGGAGUUCAAGACCAGCCUGGCCAACAUGGUAAAACCCAGUCUUUACUAAAAACGCAAAAAUUAUAUGGGUGUGGUGGUGGAUACCAGUAAUUCCAGCUACUCGGGAGGCUGAGGCUGGAGAAUCACUUGAACCCGGGAGACGGAGGUUGCAGUGAGCUGAGAUCAGGCCAUUGUACUCCAGCUUGGGCAACAAGAGCAAAACUCUGUCUCGGAAAAAAAAAAAAAGGCUAAAUUAUAAACUUAAAUUAUCAUGUGACCCAGCAAUUCCAUUCCUAGGUAUAAACGCUAAAGAAUUGAAAGCAGGGACUCAAACAGAUGCUUGUAUAUCAGUGUUCACUGCAGCCCCAGGAAGUGACUACUACAAUCAUCGUCAUCAUUUCGUAGAUGAGGACUUCAGGGGGAAAGUGACCUGCCCAAGGCCUAACAGCUAGUACCAGAUGAAGCCUGAGCCCUUCACCAGUCUGCCGUAGGGAUGGACAAAGGUGGCAAACAAAUGAACAAAAGCAGAGAGGAGAGAGGAGGUGGGGCCAUAGCUUCCCCUUCCACCAGCUGGGCAACACACAUUGUCCCAUCUUGGACCACAUCUCUGUCACACACAGGGUAAAUGGGACUAUUCCCUGUGAAUUAACUGCUAGCCUGAAGCACCAUCCAUCUGCUCAUUAACACAAUAAAAAAAAUUAUCAAAGGAGUCUUCUGACUCCCAGUCCCUGGGAGCCCAACUACACAACUUGGAAACAACUCUUCAUUAAGUCUGAUCAAAGGCUCAUUGUUCAGUAAUUAGAAAUCAUGGCCUCUCCCUCCAGGCUUGGGGCUCAUAAACAACAGUUGGAUGAGCUUUUUAUUGGGUUGGACCAAAAACCUAGACAGAUCCAUUUCCUCCUAGUUUACACCUGCUUCAAUGGGGGAAAGCAGCGGGAGGCUGAGUUUUGCUCCGAGAGAUCAUUGGCUCCCCUGGCAGGCAAGAAAUGAGGGAGGGAGAGAUGCUGAAGUGAGCCUCUGCCUGAGACAGGACAAGGGCCUUAGGGAUGGAGCAUCAGCACCAGGUCCAGGGCUAAGUGAUGUACAGAAUCCCUGGUUCUCUCAUUGAGGUUCCCAUAGCAGCAGCGAUGAGAAAGGGCCUUGGAGACCACAGAUGGGGCUGACUAUCCAAAGACCCCUGAGGCCAGAAGAGGGUGGGCAGUGAUGAGGUUCAGCUAGAAUACCAGGUGAUUCCUUCAUCUCAUCAUUUAAUAAAUAUUUAUUGAGGACCUACUAAGUGCCAGCACUUUGCUAGGCAUGGAGAUCAGAUGGCAAAUAAAAAAUACAGUGCCUGCUUGUAAAGAUAUCCAAGGUCGGUGGGGAGGGUGGUCCCUCCUGGAAGGGAAAGCAAAGUCCAGAGAGAGCACGCAUGCAUCUGGUGAAGAUGGGGAGGGUGGAGGUGGAGGCCAGGCAGACUUCACCCCCAGAGCUGAGAACAGAAAUGUCUUCCUUUUUCAAGAAUCUCUGAGACGUGCUGCACAGCUGGAAAUGCAACAUGCAGACCCAGCUGUGGCCUCCAAGCUUCAUCUUUCUUGUCCUCAAUCUCUCAUGUACUGGACGUUGGCACCCAAGAACAGGAAGUCCUAGGAAAAACAGGACAGGACAGGAUGGUAAGGGCGUCCUCUACUCUGAAAAGAUGCAUCUGCGAUUGAAAGGGAACCCAUGUCUUGGGAAACACAAGCUCUGCCAGAAUCCAGAAAUCGAAACUGUAGGAAACUCUGGGGCUUGCCACCAAUUGGAAGAGGUGCCUGAGAGUGAAAUGGACACAAAUGAAAACAGAACAGAGAGAUGGAGAGAGAUUCUUGAUGCACUAAUUUGAACACCUGGAUCCAGCUAUGCCUGAAACCUCUGGUCUUCAGAUAUUUUUGUUUAUUUUUACUUUUCAGUUAUAUAAUCCUAUAUAUUUCUCCUCGUUGUGUAAGAUGAUUUCCAUUGGCUUUCUGUCUCUUGCAGUUAAAAGAAUUCUGUCCAGUAGAUGACUUAAGUAUAUACUGUUUUAUAUUAGGAUAUAACUGUUCUUUGGCCCUGUGUCUUGUGUUUUCAAGACCUUCUACACUUCUCCAGGGCAAAAAUCAACUCUUCUCCUUUUGUAUUUCCUAUUAUAGGUGCCAUAGCAAUUGCUUAGGAAACACCCCAAAUUAAUUAACAUUCUAAUCGUGUCGUCAAUAAAAACAACAACUUACAUUGAAUACUCCAGCUUUGGAUUCUUUCAGUUCCACUUUUAACCUAUAAUGAAUCAGAGAAGAGUCAGAGGUGUGGGCUUGAUGCAAGUCUAAGCAAUAUGGGGGUCCCCAGAAGUGAGAAAGGAUGGGCUUGAGAAGGCAGAGGGUUGAAGGCGGGGUGGGAGCAGGAGUGGAAAAGAUGACUGAGUAUCUAAAAGCAGUUAUUCAAUGAUAUUGGGAAGACUGUCAGAGGGCGAUGGGGUAGUGUCAAAAAGCUGACUCUGUCAUUUCAGGAAGUUAAUAUAGCUGGCGACUAAAAUUCACAGAUUAAGAAGUAACAGUCUCAGUGAAUUCUUUAACAAUUUGAAAUUUAUGGGGGCAGGACCAGUGGGGCAGAAGAGUUAGGCCAACUGGGGUGAAAUGUAAGUGUCAUUUCCAAAUGGUGUCCCCCCCCCACCGCCCUGCCACCAGUUACAGAGAAGCAGCUACAGUAUAUAGAUGGAGCCCAGCUGGGCACCCCCUUGUGGGCAGGAGGCCAACUUACUUUCCUGGCUUCAGGAACCCAGUGAUCUUGCUGGUGUUGAAGGUCAAGAUGGCGGACACAUUAGUGGCCUGGAAAUGCCGGUAGAAGGAAGCAGGUGUAAGUGAUGGAGGUUGUAUGUAUAGGAAGGGUGAUGACGAGGGACCAGCUGUCUCCUCUCAACAAACAGCUCAGUGAGCUAAAGCAGGUAAUCUGCCCACUAGAUUAUAAACUCUCAGAAGGCUCGCUGUAGGUGCUUAAUCAAUAUUUGAACUUGGACUUGAGCAUUUUUAUUUGAAAUUGUUGUCCAUGAUAGCAGUUAAACUUUGAACAGACUACUAAGAGAAGGUAUAGAGUACCUACCCCUGGAAAGCUCUAAAAAGGAUCAUUUCUAGUUACCUCAGGUCAAGAUUCAGCCCUAGUAACAACAAUAAUAAUAAACUAUCAUCAUUAUUUUAGCAUCUCUCAAAAAGUGAGUGCAAUCAUGGCUCACUGCAGCCUUGAACUCCUGGGUUCAAGUGAUCCUCCCAUGUCACCCUCCUAAGUAGCUAGGACUACAGGUGUAUGCCAUUAUGCCCAGCUAUUUUUUUUCUUUUUUGUAGCAAUAGAGUCUUGCUAUGUUGCCCAGGCUGGUCUCAAACUCCUGGCCUCAUGCGAUUCUUCUGCCUGGACCUCCCAAAGUACUGAGAUUAUAGGUGUGAGCCAUCACACCCAGACGAUAAAUUAUAUUUUAAUUUAAAAUAUAUUAAUAAAGACACUUUUGAUAAUAACAAUAUUAAAUUGCAGAUAUAGCAUCUAGGAAGAAUUAUCCUGUCAGAUUUGACUUUUUUUUUAAUUUUUAAUUUUUCUUCUUUGAGAUGGAGUUUCACUCUUGUUACCCAGGCUGCAGUGCAAUGGUGCCAUCUCAGCUCACUGCAACUUCUGUCUCCUGGGUUCAAGCGAUUAUCCUACCUCAGCCUCCCCAGUAGCUAGAAUUACAGGUGUGCACCACCAUACCCAGCUAACUUUUUGUAUUUUUAGUAGAGACGGGGUUGCACCAUGUUGGCCAGUCUGGUCUCGAACUCGUGACCUCAGUUGAUCCACCCGCCUCUGCCUCCCAAAGUGCUGGGAUUACAGGUGUGAGCCACCAAGCCCAGCCAGAUUUGACUUGUUGGUUUCAAAAGUCAAGAAACAAGAGAGCAGAUUUCUUCAUCCAGCGAGUAGGGCCCCCAAAGGACUCAGCAUCUCCUCCCUAUUAGACAGAGCCCAUCGAAAAAGGAAAACUCACUCUCAAUGUUUAAUGCAGAGGGAAUUUAAUACAGGGAAUUGGUUAUACAAGUGAUGGAAUUGUUGAGAAGCUAGUAAAGCAUUGGUGAGCCUACCCGGAGAUUAGCAGAGACAGGAAGCUGUAUCCACCCCAGGACUAGAGGAACAAAUGGUUGAGUUGGAAUUAUGGAAGUCACCAUGGAGGAGACAUAGUCACAGCCUGAGCCUCUGCCUGCCGCAAAGAAAGAGGAAAAAAUACCCUGGCUUCAUCUUUCCUCCCCGCCUCCAGCCUCCUGACAGUACCUCCCAUUGGUACUGUCUGAUUUCCUGGGUGGAAAUCAGAGUGCAAGGAAGCAGGGGAAAUGUAGUCUUCCAAGGUCAAAUAUAGACAAAGAACAGAGCAAAUAAGCAAAGACCGGUAUACCUUCCUCCCUACAAUAGCCCAGACCCACGUAGUGAGAGAUACAUGCGUUAACCAAAUACACCUGCAGACAGCUACAAAGUACCUUUGUAGUAAACACUCAGAAAAAGAUAAUGGAAUGUUAAGAAAAAAGUAGCAAGGGGUGUAAGGUAGAUUGGGGGUAAGAGCCAGCAAGAAAGUCCUCUCUCGAGAGGUAGAAUUUAAAUUGAGAACUGGAGGAAUUAUCUAGGUGGUGAGUGGGGAGAAAGCAUGUGAGGAAAAGGGAACAGCAUUUGCAAAGGCUCUGAACCUUACCACACUGAGCCGGAAGA